GGGUUGUGAGGUUAAGCGACUAAGCGUACACGGUGGAUGCCCUGGCAGUCAGAGGCGAUGAAGGGCGUGCUAAUCUGCGAUAAGCGCCGGUAAGGUGAUAUGAACCGUUAUAACCGGCGAUACCCGAAUGGGGAAACCCAGUGUGAUUCGUCACACUAUCAUUAACUGAAUCCAUAGGUUAAUGAGGCGAACCGGGGGAACUGAAACAUCUAAGUACCCCGAGGAAAAGAAAUCAACCGAGAUUCCCCCAGUAGCGGCGAGCGAACGGGGAGGAGCCCAGAGCCUGAAUCAGCAUGUGUGUUAGUGGAAGCGUCUGGAAAGGCGCGCGAUACAGGGUGACAGCCCCGUACACAAAAGCGCAUGUGCUGUGAGCUCGAUGAGUAGGGCGGGACACGUGGUAUCCUGUCUGAAUAUGGGGGGACCAUCCUCCAAGGCUAAAUACUCCUGACUGACCGAUAGUGAACCAGUACCGUGAGGGAAAGGCGAAAAGAACCCCGGCGAGGGGAGUGAAAAAGAACCUGAAACCGUGUACGUACAAGCAGUGGGAGCACAGGUUUACCUGUGUGACUGCGUACCUUUUGUAUAAUGGGUCAGCGACUUAUAUUCUGUAGCAAGGUUAACCGAAUAGGGGAGCCGGAGGGAAACCGAGUCUUAAUUGGGCGUUAAGUUGCAGGGUAUAGACCCGAAACCCGGUGAUCUAGCCAUGGGCAGGUUGAAGGUUGGGUAACACUAACUGGAGGACCGAACCGACUAAUGUUGAAAAAUUAGCGGAUGACCUGUGGCUGGGGGUGAAAGGCCAAUCAAACCGGGAGAUAGCUGGUUCUCCCCGAAAGCUAUUUAGGUAGCGCCUCGUGAAUUCAUCUCCGGGGGUAGAGCACUGUUUCGGCUAGGGGGCCAUCCCGGCUUACCAACCCGAUGCAAACUGCGAAUACCGGAGAAUGUUAUCACGGGAGACACACGGCGGGUGCUAACGUCCGUCGUGAAGAGGGAAACAACCCAGACCGCCAGCUAAGGUCCCAAAGUCAUGGUUAAGUGGGAAACGAUGUGGGAAGGCCCAGACAGCCAGGAUGUUGGCUUAGAAGCAGCCAUCAUUUAAAGAAAGCGUAAUAGCUCACUGGUCGAGUCGGCCUGCGCGGAAGAUGUAACGGGGCUAAACCAUGCACCGAAGCUGCGGCAGCGAACGUAUCACCCAAGACAACUUUACGGAGUUGACGAUUGACGGAGCGAAGCGACGUCAAAGCGUUCAUUAAAGUCGAGUUGGCUUAGGGAUACGUUCGUUGGGUAGGGGAGCGUUCUGUAAGCCUGUGAAGGUGUGUCGUGAGGCAUGCUGGAGGUAUCAGAAGUGCGAAUGCUGACAUAAGUAACGAUAAAGCGGGUGAAAAGCCCGCUCGCCGGAAGACCAAGGGUUCCUGUCCAACGUUAAUCGGGGCAGGGUGAGUCGACCCCUAAGGCGAGGCCGAAAGGCGUAGUCGAUGGGAAACGGGUUAAUAUUCCCGUACUUGGUGUUACUGCGAAGGGGGGACGGAGAAGGCUAUGUUGGCCGGGCGACGGUUGUCCCGGUUUAAGCGUGUAGGUGUGUGUUCCAGGUAAAUCCGGUUCACUUUAACACUGAGGCGUGACGACGAGGCACUACGGUGCUGAAGCAACAAAUGCCCUGCUUCCAGGAAAAGCCUCUAAGCAUCAGGUAACAUCAAAUCGUACCCCAAACCGACACAGGUGGUCAGGUAGAGAAUACCAAGGCGCUUGAGAGAACUCGGGUGAAGGAACUAGGCAAAAUGGUGCCGUAACUUCGGGAGAAGGCACGCUGACAUGUAGGUGAAGUGAUUUACUCAUGGAGCUGAAGUCAGUCGAAGAUACCAGCUGGCUGCAACUGUUUAUUAAAAACACAGCACUGUGCAAACACGAAAGUGGACGUAUACGGUGUGACGCCUGCCCGGUGCCGGAAGGUUAAUUGAUGGGGUCAGCGCAAGCGAAGCUCCUGAUCGAAGCCCCGGUAAACGGCGGCCGUAACUAUAACGGUCCUAAGGUAGCGAAAUUCCUUGUCGGGUAAGUUCCGACCUGCACGAAUGGCGUAAUGAUGGCCAGGCUGUCUCCACCCGAGACUCAGUGAAAUUGAACUCGCUGUGAAGAUGCAGUGUACCCGCGGCAAGACGGAAAGACCCCGUGAACCUUUACUAUAGCUUGACACUGAACAUUGAGCCUUGAUGUGUAGGAUAGGUGGGAGGCUUUGAAGUGUGGACGCCAGUCUGCAUGGAGCCGACCUUGAAAUACCACCCUUUAAUGUUUGAUGUUCUAACGUGGACCCGUAAUCCGGGUUGCGGACAGUGUCUGGUGGGUAGUUUGACUGGGGCGGUCUCCUCCUAAAGAGUAACGGAGGAGCACGAAGGUUGGCUAAUCCUGGUCGGACAUCAGGAGGUUAGUGCAAUGGCAUAAGCCAGCUUGACUGCGAGCGUGACGGCGCGAGCAGGUGCGAAAGCAGGUCAUAGUGAUCCGGUGGUUCUGAAUGGAAGGGCCAUCGCUCAACGGAUAAAAGGUACUCCGGGGAUAACAGGCUGAUACCGCCCAAGAGUUCAUAUCGACGGCGGUGUUUGGCACCUCGAUGUCGGCUCAUCACAUCCUGGGGCUGAAGUAGGUCCCAAGGGUAUGGCUGUUCGCCAUUUAAAGUGGUACGCGAGCUGGGUUUAGAACGUCGUGAGACAGUUCGGUCCCUAUCUGCCGUGGGCGCUGGAGAACUGAGGGGGGCUGCUCCUAGUACGAGAGGACCGGAGUGGACGCAUCACUGGUGUUCGGGUUGUCAUGCCAAUGGCACUGCCCGGUAGCUAAAUGCGGAAGAGAUAAGUGCUGAAAGCAUCUAAGCACGAAACUUGCCCCGAGAUGAGUUCUCCCUGAGACUUAGAGUCUCCUGAAGGAACGUUGAAGACGACGACGUUGAUAGGCCGGGUGUGUAAGCGCAGCGAUGCGUUGAGCUAACCGGUACUAAUGAACCGUGAGGCUUAACCUUACAACGCCGAAG
rnacentral:rRNA from 1 species